UACGGAGGGUGCGAGCGUUGUCCGGAAUCACUGGGCGUAAAGAGCUCGUAGGCGGUCUGUCGCGUCUGCUGUGAAAACUCGGGGCUUAACCCCGGGCCUGCAGUGGGUACGGGCAGACUAGAGUGCGGUAGGGGAGACUGGAAUUCCUGGUGUAGCGGUGAAAUGCGUAGAUAUCGGGAGGAACACCUGUGGCGAAGGCGGCCCCCUGGUUGGAUACUGACGCUGAUACGCGAAAGCGUGGGGAGCAAACAGG
rnacentral:rRNA from 1 species